rnacentral:rRNA from 1 species
CUAAGCUGAGGCCGAAAGGCGUAGGUGAUGGACAACAGGUUGAUAUUCCUGUACUACCGAUAACCGUUUGAGAGAAGGGAUGACACAGUAGGAUAAGCUAAGCACACUGUUGGUUAUGUGUGCCCAAGCAUUGAGGCAGUCAAAGUAGGCAAAUCCGCUUUGAUAAUGCUGGGAUGUGAUGGGGAGCGAAAUUUAGUAGCGAAGUAGCUGAUUUCACACUGUCAAGAAAAGUCUCUAUCGAGGUUAAAGGUACCCGUACCGCAAACCGACACAGGUGGGUGAGGAGAGUAUCCUAAGGCCAGCGAGAGAACUGUUGUUAAGGAACUCGGCAAAAUGACCCCGUAACUUAGGGAUAAGGGGUGCCACCAUCAGGUGGCCGCAGAGAAUAGGCCCAAGCGACUGUUUACCAAAAACAUAGGUUUCUGCUAAGUCGCAAGACGAUGUAUAGGAGCUGACGCCUGCCCGGUGCUGGAAGGUUAAGGGGAUCUGUUAGAGCAAUCGAAGCAGUGAACUUAAGCCCCAGUAAACGGCGGCCGUAACUAUAACGGUCCUAAGGUAGCGAAAUUCCUUGUCGGGUAAGUUCCGACCCGCACGAAAGGCGUAACGAUUUGGGCACUGUCUCAACAACAGACUCGGUGAAAUUGUAAUUCCGGUGAAGAUGCCGGAUACCUGCGACAGGACGGAAAGACCCCAUGGAGCUUUACUGUAGCUUGACAUUGGGUCUUGGUACUACAUGUACAGGAUAGGUGGGAGGCUUUGAAACCAGGACGCCAGUUUUGGCGGAGCCAUCCUUGGGAUACCACCCUUGUAGUACUGGGACUCUAACCAUAGGCCAUGAAUCUGGUCUUGGGACACUGUCAGGUGGGCAGUUUGACUGGGGCGGUCGCCUCCCAAAAGGUAACGGAGGCGCUCAAAGGUUCUCUCAGUACGGUCGGAAAUCGUACGUAGAGUGUAAAGGCAAAAGAGAGCUUGAUUGCAAGACAUACAGGUCGAGCAAGGAUGAAAAUCGGACUUAGUGAUCCGGUGGUUCUGCGUGGAAGGGCCAUCGCUCAACGGAUAAAAGCUACCCUGGGGAUAACAGGCUUAUCUCCCCCAAGAGUCCACAUCGACGGGGAGGUUUGGCACCUCGAUGUCGGCUCAUCACAUCCUGGGGCUGUAGUAGGUCCCAAGGGUUGGGCUGUUCGCCCAUUAAAGUGGUACGCGAGCUGGGUUCAGAACGUCGUGAGACAGUUCGGUCCCUAUCCGUCGCAGGCGUAGGAAAUUUGAGAAGACCUGUCCUUAGUACGAGAGGACCGGGAUGGACG